UACGUAGGGGGCAAGCGUUGUCCGGAUUUAUUGGGCGUAAAGCGCUCGCAGGUGGUUCGUCGCGUCGUGCGUGAAAGGCCCCGGCUCAACUGGGGGAGGUCGUGCGAUACGGGCGAACUGGAGGCCAGUAGGGGGAUGCGGAAUUCCGGGUGUAGUGGUGGAAUGCGUAGAGAUCCGGAGGAACACCAGCGGCGAAGGCGGCAUCCUGGACUGGUCCUGACACUCAUGAGCGAAAGCGUGGGGAGCGAUCCGG
rnacentral:rRNA from 1 species